rnacentral:lncRNA from 1 species
UGCCCGCGCCGACAACACGUCAGUGCCCGCCCCUCCGCGCGCUCCCGCGCCAGCCCCGCGCGGCGUCUCCGCCCCUCGGCUCGCGCGCCAGGGGGCAUGGCCAGCCUCGUUUCCACCUGGCAGCAUAGAUAUAAAGCUGGCGAGAGCGGGCUAUCCUCCCUUUUUUCCCUGCGGAGCGUCUGGCGUGGUGGAACGGGGUGUCAUGGAGGGGAGGUUUUCAGUGGUGUCGAGCACAUUGUACAUUAAGUACUUUUCCAGAAACCAAGAAAAACAGAAGUGAAGCAAGAUAGCUAGAAGCCCCAGCAACAGCCUUGAAGCAUGUGCAGAGUACUCUGGAAGUGUCACAAGAUAGGAUCGUGAACGGCUUAAAAGGACCGACCGGAACCCCGGAUAGCGCGGCAGUUGGCAGGAUGGAGGUCCCCCUGUCGCCCAGCGCUGCAUUGCCUCUUUGUUUUGCUUGCUGUAAUUAAUAAAAUUCUUUAAUUGGCUUUCUCGACUUUUGUU